rnacentral:rRNA from 1 species
UGGGGAAUCGUUCCGCAAUGGACGAAAGUCUGACGGAGCAACGCCGCGUGUAUGACGAAGGCCUUCGGGUUGUAAAGUACUGUCUUUGGGGACGAACGGCAGGUGUGAGAAUAUUGCACUUGCAUGACGGUACCCAAGGAGGAAGCCCCGGCUAACUACGUGCCAGCAGCCGCGGUAAUACGUAGGGGGCGAGCGUUGUCCGGAAUCAUUGGGCGUAAAGGGCGCGUAGGCGGGUCAUUAAGUCUGGUGUGAAAGGCAGGGGCUCAACCCCUGGAAGGCACCGGAAACUGGUUAUCUUGAGGACAGGAGAGGAAAGCGGAAUUCCACGUGUACGGUGAAAUGCGUAGAUAUGUGGAGGAACACCAGUGGCGAAGGCGGCUUUCUGGACUGUAACUGACGCUGAGGCGCGAAAGCGUGGGGAGCAAACAGGAUUAGAUACCCUGGUAGUCCACGCCUAAACGAUG